ensembl:misc_RNA 7SK 7SK RNA
GGCUAGGGCAGUAGGCAAACAUGUCUGUUUAUCUGUUGCUAUGGUGCUGGGAGAGCAAGAGGCUAUGUUCAGCCAGUGUGUUCCCUUCCUCCCUGACCACUCCAUGGAGUCCCUCCUGAAGCUGCAUCCUCAAUCAAAGAGGAUGAGCUUCCCCAAAUAGAGGAGUGCUGGUCUUCCUUCAACGGUGUAAGAGUAGUUGCUGUCCCCUGCUAGAACCUCCAGACAAGCUCUCAAGGAUGCUCUACUCACGCAGAAUGGAUGCUGAAGGUGGUCAGUGCUUUGUUGGCUGCUUCCU